UGCAGUGUUAUACACAGUAUAUCCCUUUGCCAAUCAGUGACCUUGAUUCUUGGUUGAAGACACCCUCCAUAUAUGUUUUUGAUUGCUCUGCGGCUGGGGGAAUAUUGUGAAUGCUUUUAUUGAGCUUCAUGAUUGGGUUGCUUCUAGCUCCUCUGGAUCCACAAGGGAUUGCAUUCUACUUGGAGCUUGUGAAGCACAUGAGACUCUUCCACAAAGUGCUGAAUUUCCUGCAGAUAUGUUUACGUCUUGUCUCACAACACCUAUUAAGAUGGCUUUGAGAUGUUUUUGGUGGAUCCUACUCCAUUUUCUAGGAUCUUGCAGGCAAAGGACACCAAGUGAAUUAGAUAGAGAGGUUAAGAACUUGAGGGUGGCAUUUACUGACCUGUUUUUGAAGCAUAACACUUUCAAAGAAACUGCAAAGCCAUCAAGAUAUUGAU